rnacentral:rRNA from 1 species
GAUUAGAGUUUGAUCAUGGCUCAGGACGAACGCUGGCGGCGUGCUUAACACAUGCAAGUUGAACGGGGCAUAUUUGAAGGGUAACCGGAGGGUAUGUCUAGUGGCGAACGGGUGAGUAAUGCAUGAGAACGUAUCCUCAAGAGGGGGACAACAUUGGGAAACCGAUGCUAAUACCCCAUAAGCCGGGAGGUAAAAGGAGCAAUCCGCUUGAGGAGCGGUUCAUGUCCUAUCAGCUGGUUGGUGAGGUAACGGCUCACCAAGGCGAAGACGGGUAGCCGGCCUGAGAGGGUGAACGGCCACACUGGAACUGAGAGACGGUCCAGACUCCUACGGGAGGCAGCAGUGGGGAAUAUUGGGCAAUGGGGGAAACCCUGACCCAGCGACGCCGCGUGAGGGAAGAAGGCCUUAGGGUCGUAAACCUCUGUUGUGUGGGAAGAAGAGCGUGACGGACCACACGAGAA